rnacentral:rRNA from 1 species
UACGUAGGGUCCGAGCGUUGUCCGGAAUUAUUGGGCGUAAAGGGCUCGUAGGCGGUCUGUCGCGUCGGGAGUGAAAACUCAGGGCUUAACCCUGAGCCUGCUUCCGAUACGGGCAGACUAGAGGUAUGCAGGGGAGAACGGAAUUCCUGGUGUAGCGGUGAAAUGCGCAGAUAUCAGGAGGAACACCGGUGGCGAAGGCGGGUCUCUGGGCCGAUACUGACGCUGAGGAGCGAAAGCGUGGGAAGCGAACAGG